rnacentral:rRNA from 1 species
UACGGAGGAUGCGAGCGUUAUCCGGAUUUAUUGGGUUUAUAGGGUGCGUAGGCGGGAUGCCAAGUCAGCGGUAAAAAUGCGGUGCUCAACGCCGUCGAGCCGUUGAAACUGGCGUUCUUGAGUGGGCGAGAAGUAUGCGGAAUGCGUGGUGUAGCGGUGAAAUGCAUAGAUAUCACGCAGAACUCCGAUUGCGAAGGCAGCAUACCGGCGCCCUACUGACGCUGAGGCACGAAAGCGUGGGUAUCGAACAGG